rnacentral:rRNA from 1 species
GAUGAACGCUGGCGGCGUGCCUAAUACAUGCAAGUCGAACGCACAGCGAAAGGUGCUUGCACCUUUCAAGUGAGUGGCGAACGGGUGAGUAACACGUGGACAACCUGCCUCAAGGCUGGGGAUGACAUCUGUAAACAGCUGCUAAUACCGAAUAAAACUCAGUGUCGCAUGACACAAAGUUAAAAGGCGCUUUGGCGUCACCUAGAGAUGGAUCCGCGGUGCAUUAGUUCGUUGGUGGGGUAAAGGCCUACCAAGACAAUGAUGCAUAGCCGAGUUGAGAGACUGAUCGGCCACAUUGGGACUGAGACACGGCCCAAACUCCUACGGGAGGCUGCAGUAGGGAAUCUUCCACAAUGGGCGAAAGCCUGAUGGAGCAACGCCGCGUGUGUGAUGAAGGCUUUCGGGUCGUAAAGCACUGUUGUAUGGGAAGAACAGCUAGAAUAGGGAAUGAUUUUAGUUUGACGGUACCAUACCAGAAAGGGACGGCUAAAUACGUGCCAGCCGCCGCCGUAA